rnacentral:rRNA from 1 species
CUGGGGGAACCUGGACCGGAAAACCAUGGCCAGGCCGGAGCCGGGUGAAUGAUUUCCCGAGAUAGACUCGCUUAUCCCUUUUGGGAGGUAGGCCCCCCAAGCAAUAACAGGACGGGCUCUGAGAGGAGGGGCCCCGAGAAGGGUUACUGAGACACGGACCCAGCNCCUAUGGGGCGCAGCAGGCGAGAAACCUUUGCAAUGUGCGAAAGCACGACAAGGUUAAUCCGAGUGUCUCCUGCUAAAGGAGUCUUCUGUCAGUUGUAGAAUCACUGGUGAAUAAGGGGUGGGCAAGUUCUGGUGUCAGCCGCCGCGGUAAAACCAGCACCGCGAGUGGUCAGGAGGUUUAUUGGGCCUAAAGCAUCCGUAGCCGGUUGCAUAAGUUUUCGGUUAAAUCUAUGCGCUUAACGUAUAGGCCGCCGAAAAUACUGUGCAGCUAGGGAGUGGGAGAGGUACACGGUACUCGAUAGGAAGGGGUAAAAUCCUUUGAUCUAUUGAUGACCACCUGUGGCGAAGGCGGUGUACCAGAACACGUUCGACGGUGAGGGAUGAAAGCUGGGGGAGCAAACCGGAUUAGAUACCCGGGUAGUCCCAGCUGUAAACGAUGCAGACUCGGUGAUGCAUUGGCUUGUGGCCAAUGCAGUGCCGCAGGGAAGCCGUUAAGUCUGCCGCCUGGGAAGUACGUACGCAAGUAUGAAACUUAAAGGAAUUGGCGGGGGAGCACCACAAGGGGUGAAGCCUGCGUUCAAUUGGAUUCACGCU